rnacentral:rRNA from 1 species
UACGUAGGGGGCAAGCGUUGUCCGGAAUCAUUGGGCGUAAAGAGCGUGUAGGCGGCCAGAAAAGUCCGCUGUGAAAACUCGGGGCUCAACUUCGAGCUGUCGGUGGAAACUUUCUGGCUAGAGUCCGGAAGAGGAGAAUGGAAUUCCUGGUGUAGCGGUGAAAUGCGCAGAUAUCAGGAAGAACACCCGUGGCGAAGGCGGUUCUCUGGGACGGUACUGACGCUGAGACGCGAAAGCGUGGGGAGCGAACAGG